rnacentral:lncRNA from 1 species
UCAUGACCUGGCGUGUGACCGUGCAUAUCGUGUGACUGAGUGAUUUGGAUGUGGUUUUGGCGUGUGGGAAGAGGGGAACGUGCCCGAGGUUGGUUGGCUCGACACGGUGUAUUGCAUGGGAGGCCGGAGUACGGGUGAUCCGAGAGAGGAUAUAGGUCGCGUCUGAGAGCGGCUAGAGCCGUCUCUCAUUCCGAUCCUAGGCGAGAUAGUCUUUGACCGUUCUAUAUGAGGGACCCGUCCUAGUGGACGUUAAACUCUGAGGCAACAUGUAAGCCGGAACGUGAUCGUCUUGCGCCACCCUCUCGCUCGCUACGCAUGCGCACCCGGCCGCCUACACCGUGGCCAACACGGCCAGUUGCAGAGGCCGACAUAACAGAUCUGCAAACAUCGGAAUGAGAGACCCGGGAGACGUUCCGCCAUCGCCGACCACCAUGAUCAGUCGCUCUUUGCUCUGGCCGAUCUGCCUAGACCAUGGAGCUAUGUUCGGACCUAUCUGACUGUGAUCGAUAUUAUCCUGAGCAGAUCGCGACUACUAGCGAGCGGAGUAGACGGCCGCUGGCGCUCUUAUCAUUCUAACGGAAGAAUGCCCACAGAGCGUUGGGGAGUUUAAGCCAGCUUGAGGACGGAGAUCGCCAUGAUGCGGACGUUGCCGAGUGCCGGAGCGAAACGCCGCGGUGGAGAGCAUCUGCAAAAUGCGAGAACUCGCACAGUCGAAGGUGUUGACGAGUUCUGUAGGUUCAUACAUGGCAGUCGUUGAAGUUGCGUUUGUCGUGCUCAUGUCUUUCAGUGUUUGAGACGCACAUGUUGCAUCGAUGUUGGAGGCGCUGUAUGCCCCAGCUCGCCCAGGAGCUCAUAGGAGUGGUGCCCUGAAUGCCCUGAGGCUCAUUUGGUUGUGUUAUGUCUGAGGUUCGCCAUUAGCCGCCGUGAACGGAGCGACAGGCUCAACGCGCAUGGCUAUCACGCCCGCGAGCCCUCUCCAUUGCGGUUCACACCAAGGCAGUGUAGGCAUGGUUUGUGAGACUUUCAGACGCAUGACUGCACUGAGACAGACGUACACGCACGCAGACUGGCAAUAUGCAUACGGCACACCCUGCACAGGCCCAGACGUUGCAGACGAGCGCCGCAUUGACAUUGCGCCGCACGCUGGGGGGGGAGUCGCCGUCAGGCACACGAAACGUUCAUUGUCCUAUCAUAGGGCGCGACAGCUGUCAUGACCUGGCGUGUGACCGUGCAUAUCGUGUGACUGAGUGAUUUGGAUGUGGUUUUGGCGUGUGGGAAGAGGGGAACGUGCCCGAGGUUGGUUGGCUCGACACGGUGUAUUGCAUGGGAGGCCGGAGUACGGGUGAUCCGAGAGAGGAUAUAGGUCGCGUCUGAGAGCGGCUAGAGCCGUCUCUCAUUCCGAUCCUAGGCGAGAUAGUCUUUGACCGUUCUAUAUGAGGGACCCGUCCUAGUGGACGUUAAACUCUGAGGCAACAUGUAAGCCGGAACGUGAUCGUCUUGCGC